rnacentral:rRNA from 1 species
CUGAUGCAGCGACGCCGCGUGAGGGAUGACGGCCUUCGGGUUGUAAACCUCUUUCAGCAGGGGAGAAGCGAAAGUGACGGUACCUGCAGAAGAAGCGCCGGCUAACUACGUGCCAGCAGCCGCGGUAAUACGUAGGGCGCGAGCGUUGUCCGGAAUUAUUGGGCGUAAAGAGCUUGUAGGCGGUUUGUCGCGUCUGCUGUGAAAGCCCGGGGCUUAACUCCGGGUUUGCAGUGGGUACGGGCUAACUAGAGUGCAGUAGGGGAGACUGGAAUUCCUGGUGUAGCGGUGGAAUGCGCAGAUAUCAGGAGGAACACCGAUGGCGAAGGCAGGUCUCUGGGCUGUAACUGACGCUGAGAAGCGAAAGCAUGGGGAGCGAACA